UACGGAGGGGGCUAGCGUUGUUCGGAAUUACUGGGCGUAAAGCGCACGUAGGCGGCUUUGUAAGUUAGAGGUGAAAGCCCGGAGCUCAACUCCGGAACUGCCUUUAAGACUGCAUCGCUAGAAUUGUGGAGAGGUGAGUGGAAUUCCGAGUGUAGAGGUGAAAUUCGUAGAUAUUCGGAAGAACACCAGUGGCGAAGGCGACUCACUGGACACAUAUUGACGCUGAGGUGUGAAAGCGUGGGGAGCAAACAGG
rnacentral:rRNA from 1 species